rnacentral:rRNA from 1 species
GCUUAGCCCUAAACUUAGACAUUCAAUAUACAAGAAUGUCCGCCAGAGAACUACGAGCAAAACGCUUAAAACUCAAAGGACUUGGCGGUACCUCAAACCCCCCUAGAGGAGCCUGUUCUAUAAUCGAUAAUCCACGAUACACCUCACCAUCUCUUGCCAAUCCCGCCUAUAUACCACCGUCACCAGCCUACCCCAUGAGGGAUUUAAAAGUAGGCAAGAUAACUAAAAACAGUUAACAAGCCAGGUCAAGGUGUAGCUAACUGAGAUGGAAGAAAUGGGCUACAUUUUCUACACUAGAAAUCAAUUUACGGAAGGAAACUAUGAAAUCAGUCCUACAAGUAGGAUUUAGCAGUAAACCUGGAUCAGAACGCCUAAUUUAAGCCGGUCCUGAGGUGCGC